rnacentral:lncRNA from 1 species
CCACGAAUAUGUUUCAUGGAAUCUGAGAAUUGUUCCAAACGUAUCGAUAAAGUACUUCCAAUAUAGUAAAAAUUGGCAGUCUGAGGAUUUUGCAUUGAACCUCUUUUAAAAUGGUGAUGAAAGACCACACAUGUUGAAGAUAAGUUUGGCCUUAAUCUAAUCGAGAAACAACUGUUUUUCAUACCAGACAAGCAACUACUCCUCUCUGACUCAAUGUGCCACACCAUUCACUCACCGCUGUAAUCCAUACACAUGUUCAGUACCUUUUGAAUUUUAUGCUCCCGCUUCUCCAUGUGUCAACCCCUUUGUUCCUUGUUGACCCUAGCUUGUCUUGAUGCAACAUCAAGCAACAACAAAAUAUUACACCUGAUACGACAUCAAGCUAUACAGGAACUAUUAGACCACCCAAAUUAUUGAAGCUUCAGAAUUUGUGUCUGGGUCCAUGCCUAAUAAACUGGAAGAAAACCAAAAGAUACUUAUUGAUAUGAAUCAACUUGGUUAAGUAUGGUCAAAUACAAUGCACGGUGGAAUAUCUGCCCUAGAAAACAAAAGAAAAGGAGAUGGAAGAAAUCAUGCACUCAAUGGGUGGCUGUAAGUUCACGGGUAUCAAGACUUGGCUCACAUAUCAUUGAUCAUGGGUCUGUGUCAAUAUGGCUCUGGUGCCCAGUUUAUCACGGUGUUUUGUUAUUAUUUCCGAGAUAGUACUUUCUAUUAUAGUGUUGAGAUAAGCAAUUUAGAUGUUUUAAAUAUUCCCAGCUCUUUGGAUAAGAAGUAUUUCAGUAACUGAAUAAUCUUUGACCGUCCAAAAGAACUAUGAUGUUUCUUUGGGAAUAACAACAGAACAAAAAAUCCGAGAAUCAUGGCUGACCUAUGAGGCGCAGAUGUUGUCGAGGACCUAUAACCAUGCCUCCUAUCCUUUGCGCAACCUUGAAACCACGAGUAAUUACCUGGCAUUAUUUCAUUAUCUCAGCUGGUUUUAUGACUUCGAACAUAUGAGAGUAGUCUAACAUGUAAAAUAAUUCUUUCUCAGGUUCCAAAUAAGUCAACAGUAGGUCAAAAGUAGAGGUGAAACAUUGCCAGGCAGACAGACACACAACAAUAGCCGAUGAUUAUAGCUUAAGGUCCAAUGAGGAUAAUAUAAGUAGUGGAAAACGGAAUUUUGUAUCCACAUCCCUAUUGAUCAAGGAGUAAGUCAACAUGAUACAAGGAACGUACAACAACACCCGAGACAAUAUAAUUACAACACUGCAGAAAAAUUAGAGAUCCAUGUAAUCAAAUAUCUCUUUGUUAAAUUUUAGCUGAACAACUUAACUUAUAGAGUGUCGAUGGUUCAGAUCUUUUUCCUUUUAAUUAACAUGUGAGUUAUUAUAAAGUGGGUAAUUUCUUUUUGCGGUAUAUAAAGUGGGUAAUUCAUAUAGACUAAGACAUGGAAAAAGGGUGUAGGUGGUGCAAAUUCAUAGCAAGUUUUAUAUUGGAUGCACACAAACAACUGUGUGGACACACAAAAAGAAAACAAUCACUUUGAAAGUUUGAAUAGAAAUGUCUAAAUGAACAUCAGAUGGUCUAGUGUCUCCACUGAGAGCACUACAUGGACCCCUCAUUAACAAUUUAGCAAUGAAUAAACAAUUCUAGUAUUUAGACAUGAGAAUACCUUGUACAGAAUUUCAAAGCCAUAAAAAACGUUACCACUGGUUUGGGUAUCCUGGAAAUAAAACAGAGGUAAUAAAUUCCUUAUAACUAAUCAGGUGCACAUAGAAAAUUGAUUACCUCUGGUUUGAUCCCAUGUGCUCUAGCCAAAAAUAGAUCAAAUCGGCAGGAUAUCCUAUAAGGAAACAAAUCUAGCAAGGAAACUGAUUAUUAUUAUAUCUAAUUUCCAGCUACCAGUGGUAGGCGCAAAGUGGAACACUAUUACGCAGGACAACAAAUUUGGGCAGGAGGAAGUAUAAUGGUUAUGAAUGCCAGGCAAAGUGUUUUAAGUUCAUAACUAUGAGCAUGCAAAUAAUUUAUAUGAAGGGUCCCUUUUCUUCUGCAUAAGUCAGACAUACUUUAUGUAUGUGUAAUGUGUCAACCUGUACACAAAUACAAAAUAUAUAUUACAACGGAAAAUGCGUGAAUAUGAUGAUGAAUAUCUUAUUCUGAACUCUUUUGCAUCUUUUAUAAUGGACAGGGAUUGAGAUUCUAAUUUCGACACUACUGGAGAGUAUGUUGUGUGCAAAACGAAACUACAUGCAUUAAUCUACAUGAUUGUUCGUACCAACAGAGAAACAAUUUUGCAUCUAGUAGAUGUGUGUAUGUUUCAGGGUUACUUUCACAAUAUUUAGUUGCUAUAGAAAAAACACUUAAGGCUAGCAAAUAGAAUUAACCUAGUACAUAGAAAGUAGAGAACUGAUCGUUGCAGUAAAUUAUGAACUGAUAUCACACAUAAAACAGUAACAUACCCCAAAAUCUAUUCCUCGCAGCUCUCCACAAGUCUUCCUUCGCCCUCUUCUGCUCCACCAACCCCUGUUAUGAUUUCUCUCCCCUUAAAUCACUCUUCUUACUCCGCAUACCAUCUCUGUCUCCCUAGCCCAAACAUGCUAGUACCGUCAGUAGCGCGUCCGGCACCCCACGAAAGAAAACACAAUACAACCCACACAUGAAUAAUGAUGUAAACAUACGUGAAAUUAUGAACGCUCCAAGAAAAUCAUUCUGUAAAUAACUUGAAUGGUGUGUUGAUAUGCAGAAACAUCUACUUCUUUACAAGACAUUUACUUGUUUGGAUUGCAAAACAAAUAUUGUUGUAGGAAAUGAUCUAUUGGAAACUGGUACAAAACUUCAAACAUCUUUACUGCUGGACAUAGAACAAGCACACAACAUCCUGUAAUUAUUUAGUUGCAGACGUACAUGCAUGACAGCCAACAUAU